rnacentral:rRNA from 1 species
UGGGGAAUCUUGCGCAAUGGCCGAAAGGCUGACGCAGCGACGCCGCGUGCGGGAGGACGCUUUUCGGAGUGUAAACCGCUGUCGGGUGGGACGAAGGUCCGGGGGAGGAAAUGCCUCCGGGAUGACGGUACCACCAAAGGAAGCACCGGCUAACUUCGUGCCAGCAGCCGCGGUAAUACGAAGGGUGCGAGCGUUGUUCGGAAUUAUUGGGCGUAAAGCGCACGUAGGCGGCUGGGUAAGUCUGUCUGUGAAAGCCCGGGGCUCAACCCCGGGACUGCAGGGGAUACUGCUCGGCUGGAGACAAGCAGAGGUUGGUAGAAUUCCGGGUGUAGCGGUGGAAUGCGUAGAGAUCCGGAGGAAUACCAGAGGCGAAGGCGGCCAACUGGGCUUGUUCUGACGCUGAGGUGCGAAAGCGUGGGGAGCGAACAGG